GAUGAAGAACGUAGCGAAAUGCGAUAAGUAAUGUGAAUUGCAGAAUUCAGUGAAUCAUCGAAUCUUUGAACGCACCUUGCGCCCUUUGGCUAUUCCGAAGGGCAUGCCUGUUUGAGUAUCAUGAACACCUUAACUCUUCACGGCUUGCCGUGAUGAGUUUGGACUUUGGGGGUCUUGCUGGCCUACGAGCCAGCUCCUCUCAAAUGUAUUAGCUUGCCGGUGUUUGGUGGCAUCACAGGUGUGAUAACUAUCUACGCUUGUGGUUUUCCACUAGGUAACCUUCAGCAAUGGAGGUUCACCGGAGCUCACAAAUGUCUCUCCUUGCCAAGGACAGAUUUUGACCAUUUGAUCUCAAAUCAGGUAGGACUACCCGCUGAACUUAAGCAUAUCAAUAAGCGGAGGA
rnacentral:misc_RNA from 1 species